rnacentral:rRNA from 1 species
ACACUCAAGACAUGCAGUAUCAAUGGCAGUUUCACAGUUAAGCUGUGAGAUUUCACCUCUGACUUACACAUCCGCCUACGGACCCUUUAAACCCAAUAAAUCCGAAUAACGCUUGCACCCUCCGUAUUACCGCGGCUGCUGGCACGGAGUUAGCCGGUGCUUAUUCNUAUAGUACCUUCAGCUACCCUCACGAGGGUAGGUUUAUCCCUAUACAAAAGAAGUUUACAACCCAUAGGGCCGUCGUCCUUCACGCGGGAUGGCUGGAUCGGCUCUCACCCAUUGUCCAAUAUUCCUCACUGCUGCCUCCCGUAGGAGUC